CAUCAGCUCCUGCUUCCUGACCUGCUUGAGUUCCAGUUUUGACUUCCUUUAGUGAUGAACAGCAGUGUGGAAUUAAUUUCCUCUUCAUCACACCGCCACCUGUAAUCCUUAUGACCCAGGAAGUGGCCUCAUCUGCUCCAUUCUGUACAGUUAUUUCAGAGCCAACCCUUAGACAUUCUGGUCUGUGUACGAAGCCUGCAGAAGACCAUGUGUACCCAGGAGAAGCCAGAAGACAAGGAAGGCCGGAGAGAUGGUUCAGUGGCUAAGAGUGCGUACACUCCUGUAGAUGGCCUACGUCAGGUUCUCAGUGCUCGUGCAAAGCAGCUGACAACUGUCUCUAACUCCAGCUCUCAGGGAAUCCAACGGCACCGGCCUCUGCUGGGCCGCUCCAGCAUACAUGAGCUCAAGAUACCACCUGCCUUGUUUGUCUUCAGAAAGAGGAAUGUGGAAAUGAUCCUUAAAGAGCAAUGACAUCUUAUGAAGACAGCCCGUCUCCUUAUUAGCAGACUGUAAUUACAGUGCUCCCCUUCCCUCUUCUUCUCUCCUCUCCUUUCUUCCUCCCUUCUCCCCGCCCUCCCCAUAAGGGGUUAAAUUGUUUUAGAACAAGGAAGAAAGACUGGGUAAGCUUCCUAACCUGGAUCCUAUUGUUCCCAUAAGCUUAUAGAUUUUAGCUGGGGGAAAAAACCCUACACCUUCCUUCUUUUAAAAAUGUGUUAUCUGCAUUCUAUGUGUGUGAGUGUUUGCUUGCAUGUCUGUCAUCUGUCUGUCUGCUACACAUGUGCUUAGAACCUGGGCUAGAAGACAGCACUGGAGAGCCUGAAACUGCAGCUACAGCUCUCUGUGAGUAUUGGGAACUGAAUCCAGGUCCUCUGAAAGAACAGCCACCGCUUAACCACUAAACCACGUCUCCAGUCCCUACAGCUUUGU